AUUGGGUUUAAAGGGUCCGCAGGCUGUUUGUUAAGUUAGAGGUGAAAUCCUACCGCUCAAACGGUAGAACUGCCUUUAAAAACUGGCAAACUUGAGUUAUUGUGAAGUAAUUAGAAUGUGUAGUGUAGCGGUGAAAUGCAUAGAUAUUACACAGAAUACCGAUUGCGAAAGCAGAUUACUAACAAUUAACUGACGCUGAGGGACGAAAGCGUGGGUAGCGAACAGGAUUAGAUACCCUGGUAGUCCACGCCGUAAACGAUGGUCACUAGCUGUUUGAUGUACAUUGGUACAUUGAGUGGCUAAGCGAAAGUGAUAAGUGACCCACCUGGGGAGUACGCUCGCAAGAGUGAAACUCAAAUGAAUUGACGGGGGCCCGCACAAGCGGUGGAGCAUGUGGUUUAAUUCGAAGCAACGCGAAGAACCUUACCUACACUUGACAUCCAGAGAACUUUCUAGAGAUAGAUUGGUGCCUUCGGGAACUCUGAGACAGGUGCUGCAUGGCU
rnacentral:rRNA from 1 species